rnacentral:rRNA from 1 species
UUGACCUCGGAUCAGGUAGGAAUACCCGCUGAACUUAAGCAUAUCAAAAGCCCGGGAAGGAAA